rnacentral:misc_RNA from 1 species
GAAUAUGUGAGCUUCCUGGUGCUAAUGAAGCCGCAUUCAACCAUUUCAUAUUACAAUUACAUCAGAAUGGACUUCUGAAAGGGGAUGAUAUGACUGAUCGGUUUUUCCGUCUACUCACUGAAAUUUCUGUGGCACAUUGCUUAUCAUCUGAAGUAAUUAACUCGGGUGCAUUACAAUCACCACAACAAAUACAGAAUCUUUCCUUCCUUG